GCAAACUUGGUCAUUUAGAGGAAGUAAAAGUCGUAACAAGGUUUCCGUAGGUGAACCUGCGGAAGGAUCAUUAGCGAAAUCCAAAUUGGUUGGGACCCCGAUGCCGAAAGGGUUGGACCCGCCAUCAUCUCAUACACCUGUUGAACUGUAGGGAAGACUGUGUCUUCUCUCUUUUAUACCCUUGAAGUUUUUGAAUGAAGUCUUGGUUUAACCAAAAUAAAAUUUUCAACAACGGAUCUCUUGGCUCUCGCAUCGAUGAAGAACGCAGC
rnacentral:misc_RNA from 1 species